UUCCACCAUUCCAGGAAACCCCAGUGCGCUCCUUUCCAGCUCCAGCUGCUCCACAAGCAGACACUUUCUGAGCUCUAAUAUCACAGAGACCACUCAGGCAGCACCCUCCUCUUCUUGCUCCCGCAAAAGGAAGGAAAGAACAAUCAUCAGUGACAAAUGGCAGCUGCAGCAAAGCAACACCAAGAGCAGGCUUCAUCCUGGAGAGCGAACACUGCACCCCCUCCUCAGGCUCACUGUGCUCUUUGCAUUCUGAGAAACUACUCUGUAAUAAUUGAUUCAAGCAAAAAUCACCAUUGGGCAGAAGGUUUGAGACAACAGAAUUUUCACAGGAUCUCAUGCAGAUUUCUUAUUAAUUAUACAAGAAAAAUGUACUGCGUUAUUGGUGGGCUUGGCAAGCACAGUCCUAACCAAGUGAUCAAAGCUAACAUCUCCAAACGAUCAUGAAACUGAUAUCAUGUGCCCCCGGGGGAAGCACUGAGGAGUACGGAGCAUUCCAGCCAAAGAUGUUGAUGCUAAUCACAAGGAAAGAAUCACUGAGUUCCAAAUAAAGGCACAUUUGGCAAAACAACUGGAACUUGGGCUCCAAAAAUAUCAGUGGUAUGGAAGACCAAGAGAGAAGACUAAAGAAAUAAGASAACUAAAUGCAACCUAUCAAUAAAAGAGCAGGAGGAAAAAACACAUAUACCAUCAAAGACCUACUGACGUGGGAAAAUCUGAGUAGGGGCUAUAUGUUAGAGAAUGAUAUUACAUUAUUGUUGAAAACGUUGGGUUUGUUAAUUGUGUUGUGGGUAUAUGGGAAAAUGUGCUUGUUCUUCAAAAAUAUAUGCUGGAGGCAAGGCAUAGUAGUAUAUGCUUGUAACCUAAGAGACUGGGGAGGCUGAGGCAGGAGGAUCACAAGUUCAAGGUCAGCCUGGGUGACU